AGCAGCCGCGGUAAUUCCAGCUCCAAUAGUGUAUAUUAAAGUUGUUGCAGUUAAAAAGCUCGUAGUUGAAUUUCGGGAUCAAUGUUUCGGUCAUGCCGUUGGUAUGUACUGAUAUUAUUGGUUUCUCACCUUCUAAAGAACCGUAAUGCCAUUAAUUUGGUGUCACGGGGAAUUAGGACUGUUACCUUGAAAAAAUUAGAGUGUUUAAAGCAGGCUAACGCUUGAAUACAUUAGCAUGGAAUAAUGAAAUAGGACAUCCGAUUCUAUUUUGUUGGUUUCUAGGAUCGAUGUAAUGAUUAAUAGGGAUAGUUGGGGGCAUUAGUAUUCAAUUGUCAGAGGUGAAAUUCUUGGAUUUAUUGAAGACUAACUACUGCGAAAGCAUUUGCCAAGGAUGUUUUCAUUAAUCAAGAAUGAAAGUUAGGGGAUCGAAGACGAUCAGAUACCGUCGUAGUCUUAACCAUAAACUAUGCCGACUAGGGAUCGGAUGAUGUUAAUUUUUUAAUGACUC
rnacentral:rRNA from 1 species